ensembl:lncRNA
GUGGAGGGAUGUAUUUUAUUCUACUAGAGGAGAGAUGGAGGGAUGCAUUUUAUUCUACUAGAGGAGAGGUGGAGGGAUGUAUUUUAUUAAACUAGAGGAGGGAUGCAUUUUAUUAAACUAGGAGAGAUGGAGGGACGUAUUUUAUUAAACUAGAGGAGAGAUGGAGGGAUGUAUUUUAAUCUACUGGAGGAGAGAUGGAGGGAUGUAUUUUAUUAAACUAGAGGAGAGAUGUAUAUUAUUAAACUAGAGGAGAGAUGUAUUUUUUUUAAACUAGGGGAGAGAUGUAUAUUAUUAAACUAGAGGAGGGAUGUAUUUUAUUCUACUGGAGGAGAGAUGGAGGGAUGUAUUUUAUGAAACUAGAGGAGAGAUGUAUAUUAUUAAACUAGAGGAGAGAUGUAUUUUUUUUAAACUAGGGGAGAGAUGUAUAUUAUUAAACUAGAGGAGAGAUGUAUAUUAUUAAACUAGAGGAGAGAUGUAUUUUUUUUAAACUAGGGGAGAGAUGUAUUUUAUUAAACUAGAGGAGAGAUGUAUAUUAUUAAACUAGAGGAGGGAUGUAUUUUAUUCUACUAGAGGAGAGAUGAGGGAUGUAUUUUAUUAAACUAAGGGAGAGAUGGAAGGAUGUAUUUUAUUCUACUAGAGGAGAGAUGAGGGAUGUAUUUUAUUAAACUAAGGGAGAGAUGGAGGGAUGUAUUUUAUUCUACUAGAGGAGAGAUGAGGGAUGUAUUUUAUUAAACUAAGGGAGAGAUGGAGGGAUUUAUUUUAUUCUGCUAGAGGAGAGAUGGAGGGAUGUAUUUUAUUAAACUAGAGGAGAGAUGGAGGGAUUUAUUUUAUUCUGCUAGAGGAGAGAUAGAGGGAUGUAUUUUAAUAAACUAGGAGAGAUGGAGGGAUGUAUUUUAAACUAGGAGGGAUGCAUUUUAUUCUAGAGAGAUGGAGGGAAGUAUUUUAUUAAACUAGAGGAGAGAUGGAGGGAUAUAUUUUAUUCUACUGGAGGAGAGAUGGAGGGAUGUAUUUUAUUACACUAGAGGAGAGAUGUAUUUUAUUAAACUAGAGGACAGAUGGAGGGAUGUAUUUUAUUAAACUAGAGGAGAGAUGUAUUUUAUUAAACUAGGAGGGAUGUAUUUUAUUAAACUAGGAGAGAUGGAGGGAUGCAUUUUAUUAAACUAGAGGAGAGAUGGAGGGAUGCAUUUUAUUAAACUAGAGAGAUGUAUUUUAUUCUACUAGAGAGAUGGAGGGAUGUAUUUUAUUAAACUAGAGGAGAGAUGUAUUUUCUUAAACUAGAGAGAUGUAUUUUCUUAAACUAGAGGAGAUGGAGGGAUGCAGGGAUGUAUUUUAUUAAACUAGAGGAGAGAUGUAUUUUCUUAAACUAGAGGAGAUGGAGGGAUGCAUUUUACUCUACUAGAGAUGGAGGGAUGUAUUUUAUUAAACUAGGAGAGAUGGAGGGAUGCAUUUUAUUCUACUGGAGGAGAGAUGGAGGGAUGUAUUUUUAUUCUACUACCAGAGGCGAGAUGGGGGUAUGCAUUUUAUUCUACUAGAGGAGAGAUGGAAGGGUGCAUUUUAUUCUACUUGCAGAGACGGAUGGAUUUUAUUCUACGACUAGAGGAACGGUCAGAGAUGGCAGAGCUUUGGCUUUGCAGCUUUUAAGUUGGAUUAAAGGUAUACGCUAGGAUACUUUCGUGAGCCAAUGCUAACUAGUGUUAGCACAAUGACUGGAAGUCCAUGGUAUCAUGCACCCAGUCAUUGCACUAACACCAGUUAAUAUUGGCUCACAAAAGUAUCCUUGCGUUAAUCAGACUGGGUGAGUAGAUAGGUUUUCAUUGUCAAAAUCCCUUUAAAUGUAGAGCUGAUGUGGAUGGUGUCAGUAAAGGAAGAGAUUAUUUUUAAAGUCACAUUUACACAACCCUCAUCUACCGGUAGAAAUUAGGGGGUGGUGAGGUCAUCACUCUCCUGCAAGACUCAGCCUAUCCUGUGGGGCUGCCAUGGGGUCUCCAGGUGCAUCCUUGAUGUCAUCUCCUGAGAACACGCCAACCUGUGUGUUGGCUUCAUAGAGGUAGAAAGGAUUCCUCUGUGCCUCAAUGGAUUCUGUGACAGCAUGGGUA